GGAUCGGUAGCUCAACAGGCAGAGCAACGGGCUCUUAACCCGUGCGUUGUAGGUGCAAGUCCUACCCGAUCCAC
rnacentral:tRNA from 1 species